AGCUUCAUGCGCGUAUUUGUUUAAGAGGGAGGAAGAAGAACGAAAUACAAAUUUGAAGCUUUCUGAUUCAAUCUCUUGGAUUCAAUUCGUGCAUUCGUUUUCGUCCUCUCUUUCCCUUUAUCAUAUUUCCUUUUUCAGAGGGAGGCGCGUAUUCGUUUUAGGGAGGAAGUUAAGCUUAUUCGUUUCAGAAGGAGGAGGAAGAAGGAAAUCCAAUUUUGAAGCUCUCUGAUUCAAUCUCUUAGAUUUAAUUCGUGCGUUCGCUUUCGUUUUCUUUAUUGCAUAUUCGACUGUGAGUUAUUGUACUUGAGUGUUCUUUUUUUUUUUUCGAUUUUGUUUUUUUCCGUUUUCUUUUUCAAUUUCUCAGCUCCUUUACUGUGUUCUUUAUUAUUAUUAUUUUUUUUUAUCAAGAAUCUAAUGCUUUUUUCAGCUUAUUAUGAACAGAGUGGAUGGUGAAGGGAGUUUGUUGUGCUUUCGUUCAGUUAUGCUUUCUUCCAUUGUUCAAUUUUUUUGCCAUAUUUUGAGUUUUGAUCGCUUAAUUAAGUUAGGGUUUGCAUUCUUCUCUCUUUUAUUUAAUUAUUUUGAGGUUUUCCUUCUUCUCGUUGAUAUUUCAUUUUGCAUUGUAUAAUAUUUCUAGAAACAUAUCUAUUUUGAUCGUUUGAUUUUUUCUACAACUGAAACACUAUGAAGCUAAGGUAAGCUACCGUCAUCAAUUAGAAGAUAGCAAUUAGCUAUCAGUGAUCGUGACUAUCACUAAUAGAAUAUAUGUGACUGCUAUCUUGUUUUAUGUGUUUAUUGGUUCUUAUUGAUAUCAAAGACAUAUCUAGUUAUAGACUGGUGUCAGUGGUAGUGAUAGAUUUAUAUUUGUUUUUGAUAGAUAUUGGAACUUAUUGAUAUUGUUAUUUAAGAGUUUUUGUUUUACUUUCGCAAGAAUUUUAAAGCACGGUUAUUCCAAUAGUUGUUUUUCAUAGUGGAAUAUGGAAUGAAAAACACUGUUUGUAAAUUACAAAUGUACUAGAGUUUUAGUAGACGAUAUAAUGGUUUUUGAAGAUUUUGUGGGUUUAAUAGUGAAGGAGAUUUGUUUGGAUGUGUCUACUUCUUCUAUAGAACUUCCAGCUUUAUUAGAUUUUGUAAUGAAUGAGGUUCAAAAUGUAGUUGAAAUUCGUGAAGGCAAGGAUAUAGCUUGGUUUUUGGCUUUAGUUAAGGAAUAAAAUACACGACAUCCUUUGGUUGCUCAUAUCAGUAGUUCAUGUUUGGAAGUGUCUUUUAAUGUUGUUUCUAGUGGAGCUAAGAAUUAUUUGUCUGUUGUUCCUUCUUCUAAGCCUAUGAUUGAUGAUGGCAAUAUCCAAGUGAUUAUGGAUAUACAUAUUGCUCGUGAUUUGAAAGAAAAAGAUGUGUUUGCUAGUAAAGAGAUUUUAUCAAAUUGUUUUUACUUGAUAGCAGUCGAGAAGAAUUUUGAAUUUAAGACUGUAACGUCAAAUUCAAGAGCAAUUAUGGUUCGAUGUGUUUAAGAUGGUUGUCAAUGGUAUGUGAGGGCUUCCCAUUACAAGCGCAGUAUUUUGUGGAUGUUUAGGAAGUUUAUUGAUAUACAUGAUUGUCCUAUAAAAAGUAUUCAAACUUCUCAUAGGCAAGCUUCUUUGUCAUUAAUAGCUAAAUGUUUGAGAAAUAAUUUUAGAUUUAGUUCUUCUCAUAACUCAACUUCUAGUGAUAUUGUAAUUGAAGUCCAUAAGAAAUUUUGAUUAACUAUUAGCUAUUAUAAAGCAUGGAGGGCAAAAGAGCAAAUAAUGAAGUCUUUGAAAGGUGAUGCACGUGAAUCAUAUGCUUUGAUUCCAAAGUUUUUGUUGAAGUUAGAAGAAAAGAAUCCAGGUUUAUUGUCUUGUUCCGACUCAUUACAUAAUCUAUCAAUGAUAGCUUCUAUCACUUAUUGAAGUCUACCACUGAUAGCUUCCAUCACUGAUAACAUGAAAAUAAUGGAAGCUAUUAGUGAUAGACUCCAACCAAUGAUAGAAGCUAUCAUUGAUAGGCAUCAAUCAAUUAUAUACCUUUUCUUAUAGUAGGGACAUAAACUGCCUAUGAAGUUGACAUAAAUGGCCAAAGUAUUGUUAUCUGGCUAUUGGAGCAUUAAUUGAGGGUUGGAAGCAUUGUAGGCCUAAUAUAUCGGUUGGUGGCACGUUCUUGAAAUGUAAAUAUGCUGGGAUUCUUUUGACGGCUUCAACAAUUGAUGGUAAAAAUUGAAUUUUCCCUCUUGCUUUUAGUAUUGUUGACUCUGAAAAUGAUGCAUCCUAGAGAUGGUUUUUGGAGAAUCUAAAGAAAAAUUUUGGUGAACGAGAAGGAUUAGUCAUUAUUUCUAAUCGACAUUUUAGCAUUCCAAAAGGUGUUAUGAAUGUUUUUCCAAAUGUUGAGUAUUGUGUUUGUCUACAACACCUUUUGCAAAAUAUGAAGUUGACUUAUAAGGAUUCUUUAAUUGAUGACAUAUAUUAUAGUUGUGCAAAAGCUUAUACAGUUGAUAAUUUAAGUUUUAUAUGAAAUGGAUGGAAUCAAUAUAUCCUACUAUUCAGGAAUAUCUCAGUAAAGUUGGUUUUGAGAAGUGGGCACAUGCGCAUUCUAGGAGAAGAAGGUAUGAUGACUACUAAUAUUUUAGAGUGCUUGAAUAAUAUUUUGAAAGAGCCUUAAGAGUUUCCUAUUGCAUCAUUACUUGAUUAUAUUAGAAUAAUACUUCAAAAUUGAUUUUAUGAAAAAGGUCAAUUAGCAUUAUCCAUGAAGACCGUUUUGAUUAGUUAGGCAGAGUCUGAGUUGCGAGAGCAACAUAGUCAAUCAAGAAGCUUCAAGUUAAACGUUCGGCUGGACGAUGAUGUAAACAAAGAAUAUUAUCAAUUGGUGAAAAGAAAAGGAGCUCGAAGUGCAAUUGAUCUCAUCGUCGUGGCCAUAAUUGUAGAACAUGCAAAUUGCCACCAGUUGUUUAAUGAAAAAGCUUGUUUUGUAAUUGAUGUUUGUCAUCAAUUUAUCAAUGAUAGUGAGACACUUGAUGUUUUUCACCAAUUUACCAUUA